rnacentral:rRNA from 1 species
UACGGGGGGGGCAAGCGUUGUUCGGAAUUACUGGGCGUAAAGGGCUCGUAGGUGGCCAACUAAGUCAGACGUGAAAUCCCUCGGCUUAACCGGGGAACUGCGUCUGAUACUGGAUGGCUUGAGUUUGGGAGAGGGACGCGGAAUUCCAGGUGUAGCGGUGAAAUGCGUAGAUAUCGGGAGGAACACCAGUGGCGAAGGCGGUUACCUGGAGCUUUGCUGACGCUGAGGCACGAAAGCGUGGGGAGCAAACAGG